rnacentral:rRNA from 1 species
GACGUAGGGCGCGAGCGUUGUCCGGAUUUAUUGGGCGUAAAGAGCUCGUAGGCGGCUUGUCGCGUCGACUGUGAAAUCCCGCGGCUCAACUGCGGGUCUGCAGUCGAUACGGGCAGGCUAGAGUUCGGUAGGGGAGACUGGAAUUCCUGGUGUAGCGGUGAAAUGCGCAGAUAUCAGGGAGGAACACCGAUGGCGAAGGCAGGUCUCUGGGCAUUAACUGACGCUGAGGAGCGAAAAGCAUGGGGGAGCGAACAGGG